rnacentral:rRNA from 1 species
GACGAACGCUGGCGGCGUGCUUAAUACAUGCAAGUCGAACGGUAAGGCCCUGCUUUUGUUGGUUGCUCGAGUGGCGAACGGGUGAGUAACACGUGAGUAACCUGCCCUUGACUUUGGGAUAACUUCAGUAAACUGGGGCUAAUACCGGAUAGGAGCUCCUGCUGCAUGGUGGGGGUUGUAAAGUUUCGGCGGUUGGGGAUGGACUCGCGGCUUAUCAGCUUGUUGGUGGGGUAGUGGCUUACUAAGGCUUUGACGGGUAGCCGGCCUGAGAGGGUGACCGGCCACAUUGGGACUGAGAUACGGCCCAGAGUCCUACGGGAGGCAGCAGUGGGGAAUAGUGCAAAAUGGGCGGAAGCCGGAUGCAGCAACGCCGCGUGCGGGAUGACGGCCUUCGGGUUGUAACCCGCUUUCGCCUGUGACGAAGCGUGAGUGACGGUAAUGGGUAAAGAAGCACCGGCUAACUACGUG